AUUUUCAGGAGUGGUGGAGAUCUCCGGCGAUUGGAGAAUUUGCGGAUUUUCCUUUAGGAUUUGCGAUAGGAGCUGCACCGAUCCGCUCAUUGCCGCUUCGUACAGCUUCAGAUGUUUGUCGUAGGGCUGGGAAAAAUCGAAUUUACAGAAAAAAUGUGAGGAUUUGAGUCAGAAGAAAUCAAAAUUGCUGCUUCUGGAGGUUUGCAACUUUUAGAGAUUUGAUAAUUUUGAUCAUGAAUUAGCAGUCUCAGUUCUAUGAUAAAUUGCUCUUAACCUGUUCGGUACUUCAUACUACCUGCUUGUGUGAACAUUUUAUUUCUUGUCAGUUUAGAUAUUUCAAACAAUAGAUUCAUAGAGUAAAACCUGAGACAAUGUUGAACAUGAAUAUGAUACAGCAGUACUAAUUUUCACACAUGAAUUGCAAGCAUAGGAAACUAGAUAGAUGUGCUUUCAGAUAAAUGAAAAUAAAAAUCUCAAUUUUGACUGCUGAUUUUGAUCAGUUGGUUCAUUUCCACCUCAUUCCUAAACCUUCUAGGCCUCCAAAUAACAACACCUCUGUUCUUCAACCACUUGUCGAUCAAACGAAUCGUGUUCCCGAAAAGCAAAAUCCCCAUCACACUGCACCACACAAUUAGCGAGAUCUCAAUGACCUUGCUCAGUGACCUCCGAUCCUUCUUUGGAGUCACCACAGUAAUCGAUAUGGCAUAGGUUGCCGCGGUCAUGGUAACCGUGACCCACAUGAUCACCAUCAGGAUCCACAUGAACAGCGGCCGCCUGAAGGGCAGGCCGCUAAUGAGCAGCAGGAUUGUGCUGAGAGACGUUACGAAGGCCACUGUGUUGGUGCGCAUGAAGUUUUUGAACGCCCGCUCGCUUUUGUAGGCCAUCACGGCCUCCCCUGCUUUGUGUGGAUUAUCCACGAGGGUGCCGUUGUCAUGGUGUAUGAAGUCUUCCUGCCAGACGCCCCCUGGAGGGGUCACCCCAGCUUGGAAAGCCAUGGUUGCUAUGAGGAUCGCAACCACCAUUAUGGAGUCUCGUUUCUUGGUCAACCACUUCACCGGCUGGGUGUCUCUGUGUUUUUUUUUUAAUCUGUUGAACCCGUGGCACAGAACAUGGGCGACUCCAGAAUCUUCUUGUGCCUCGGGUUGGAUUUGUUCGUAAAGGGACUUCGCUGUUUGGCCAUUGGAGUUCAUUGCGUUGAUAUCCACGUUGUCAUUUUGGAGUAGAGACUCUAUAAUCUGCAAUAUAAUGUGUUUAUGUUCUUGAUUAUAGGUAAAGAAGGUGUUACAGAUCAAUCAUUCAGAUGCUCUUUCUUCUAUUUAUCAGCUACUGCCAUAUGCAAAAUGGUGUCACCAUCACCAUUCUUUGCAUUGAUCAGCUCUUUCACUUCUCUCAUCAAAACCCUCAAAGCCCCCAGCUGGCCAUGUUCGACGCACAAAUGCAGGGCGUUGAGGCCUCGGCC